GCCACACUGUCUUCCACAAUGGUUGAACUAGUUUACAGUCCCACCAACAGUGUAAAGGUGUUCCUUGACUUCUAAUACUAUAGAUAAGCUUUGCUGCUUUGGAACUUGAAAAAAAUUUUUAGCUACUCUGCUAUUCAUAGACAUUUGUGUAAUGGUUUCAGCUUUGGGCUGUGUGAAUGGUGCUGCUACAGUCAAUCUAACAGAUUUCAUUUUGGUGAACAUGUGCACACAUUUCUUUUAGGUUUAUAAGAGUGCAAUUACUGUGUCAUAGGUUGUAAAUAUUAAGAGCUCUAAUAGAGACUACUAAACAGAUUUCUGAAGUCAUCAUAUCACUUUAUAUGCCUAGCAGCAAUAUAUAAGAAGAAUCAAUCACUUUGAAAAGUUUUUACUUCUGGUAGCUCACUUCUGUAAAUAGUAUCUGUCUAUCUUAAAAAGCUUUAAAAUAAUAAACUUGUUCUGUUCACUUACCCUGCACCCCAGCUUAUCUUUCUUCACCUUCCUCAAAAAACUAAUGGUUAAAUUAUGUUUGCUUGGUUAUAUUUGUAAAUUAACAAUCUUUUAUGUCUUCUUGCUUUGUCAACUUAAUAAGCAGUUUUCCUUCUCUCUCUGUUACAUGUAAAUACAAGUUAUUCUCUAUAUUCGUUUGUUAAUUUCCAUUGCCUAUAUUUUUAAAUCCCUUUUUUAAAUUUUGAAAUAAUGUUAGAUUUACAGAAACACUGCAAAGAUAGUACAGUUUUCCCUAUUAACAUAUUAUAUAACCAUGAUACCUUUGUCAAAACUAAAAACCAACAUUGGUACAUUACUGUCAACUGCAGACUUUAUUGUAUUUCACCAGGUUUUUCUGCUAUGUACCCCUUCUGUUCUCUUCCAGGUUCCAAUCCAGGAUACUACAAUUCACUUAGCCACCGUAUUUCCUGAUUUUCCUCUGGUCUAUGACAGUUUCUCAGUCUUUCCUUGUUUUCAAUGACCUUAAUGGUUUUCAGUCCCCCAGGGUUUCCACCCCCUAAUCUACUGCAUAUAGUCACUUCCCACUGGGUGUGGGCUGGACAUGUGAAUGUGAUGGGAUAGCCUCCAGGAGCCACUCUCACGUUAUUGGCUACUCUAACCUUAGGUCAUUCUGGGCUUCUACUGGGAAGGCUGGCUUUUACUUCCACUUAGGUUCCCCCAUGGUAUUACUUUUUCAUCAACAUACUUCCAUGUACUUUCAGACUUUGAGAAACGUGUGAAAGACUCUGAUCUCCCCACGUACAUCCACACUUCUGAGUUUAUUCAUUUUUGUGUUCCCUUAUUGCUUCAGGAAGGAGGAGGAGAGGUAAGCAUAUGUGCACAUUUUAAAACUAGCAACAAAGAGCUCCCUUUCAAAUCAUAACUUGCCACUGCCAAUUCCAGGCUAACUCGUUAGCCUCAUGCCUUUGUAGUUCUUUUUCUGUUAUACCCAUCUAUAGCCAAUGUUCUUAUAUGUGUAUGUUUUGCAGUGGUAGUAGUUACAGGACCAGGUUUUAAGCCUGGCUCUGGAAUUAUCUGAUAUAUUGCUUUAGGGGAGUUGCUUAAAAUGUGUGCCUCGGCCAGGACAUAAUUAAGAUUAUUACUGUUGUCUACUUCACAGAGUAAUCUGAGAAUGACUUCAUGCAUUUUCACUGCCAUUGCAUUUCUAAAACUGUCUUAUGAUUUUAAAAUAAGCUUCUCUGUCAUAAAAACCGUAAUCAGACACAGAAGAAUGCCAGAAGGCAGAGGUAAACUGAGUUCACCUUCCAAUGUUCCAUCAACACAUCUUGAAAAUUCUUCAUCAUUCUCACUGAUCCUUUAUUCCUGUUUUGCCGUCCUCCUUUGUGAUUAGAAGAUUUUCUCUAAUGUGAGAGAAUGUUCAGGAGAGAAAAUCAGAAAUCUACAUUUGAAAAGUAUCCCACUAACAGAAGUUGAUCCAAGACAGAGAAGAAGAUACAUGGAGCUUAUUUGGGAGGUGCACUGAUAAAAGAUUGCAGACAUGAAAAAAGGGAAGAGAAGAAACUCUUUUCAAGAAUAGUUUCCAAACCACAUAGCUUGUAUUACAUGGCCAUUUACAAUAUGGAUCCCAACUACAUCUUUCGUCACUCUACUGCAGCUAUUCUACACUCUUAUCACAGUGCAAAGUUAAUUAUUCACCCGCCAAGCUCUUCUUUGGUGAAUAUUUAUCCUAUUUAUAAGAUUUAUGUUUACUAGAAGCCAUGGAUGUGAAAGUAUGUAAAAUUAUAAGACUCUGGGAAGACAGACUGAGAAUAGAGGAGAAAUAAUCUGCCAUGUUGUUAGCUCCCCUGUGAGGAGACCCAUGUGAUGAGGAACUGAGGCCUGACAACAGUCAGAAGAGUGGGCUUGGAAGUGGAUCCUUAAGCUCCAAACCUUGAGAUGAUCCCAUUUCUGGCCAACAUCUUGACAGAAAUCUGAUGCAAGACCCUGAGCCAGAACCACCCAGUUUAGCUGUACCCUGAUCCUUGACCCUGAGGAAUUGUUUCAGAAGAAACUACCUUAAUGAAGAAACAGAAGGGAAAGACGUGAAAACCUCCAGAGUUCUUCAGAAAGGCUUCCUUUGCAUAGAAUCGUUCAUCAAUUUCAACAGUAACAGAAAGUAACGGAAACGUGAUCUGAAUGAGUAGCUGAAAAUUGAGUAGUAACUUAACACUCCAUUGAAGUUUUUCAUCAGAUAUGGGGCACAGCUUGACCCUCGUAUUAUAAAUAUUUAAAUGCUUUGGAUAUUUUGCCAAAGUUUAAGCAUUUCUUCCCAAAGGAACAGUGGUGAUAUAAUGUGAGUCAUGCUAAAGUACUUAACCAUCAGUGGGCAGAUUUUGUGGCAUGAAUUUUUGUAAUGAUUUUAAGUAAGACCCGGUAUAUUCACAAAUAUCCAAAACUUUAUUUAGAACUGUAUGGGAAGCUAUUCUAUCUAAAAGCUCAUUCUUAUUAAAAGUAUUUUUUCAGGAAAUAAAAUGAUGUUAAACCUGGAAGUCUCCAGCAAAGAGACUGAUUUUUUUUUAGAUGCUCCCAACUCAGUAAAUUUUGCUUUCCUAUUUUCUUAUUUUUGUACGUAUGCCACUGAUGUCUAGCUUAUACACUUCUGUUAUAUUUACAGCUGUUUACAACCAUUGAACCAAAAGUUCUAUACCUGUUGAAUGUCUAAAAGUAGAGAAAAUUAAUUGAAAAGCAAUAGGUUAAGAAUCAACCUGUGGUCCCAAGAAAAAGAAGUAAAAUCCUAUAAAAUUCUUAAAGCAUUUCCUCUAUAAAUAUUUGAAAGUUAUUUAAUCUUUUGGUCUUUAUAGUGCCUGGAUUGACAUUCUGCAUUAACUAUGGAAUCAUUUUUAUAAGGAAUAUUUUGUGAUUUGUAUAAGAAAAAGUAUUUCUCAAUGGCAUAGGAAGAGCUUUGCUAACUCUUAGAAGAAAGAGGGAAGAGAAGAGGGAAGGAAACAAGUAAAACGAACUGGUGGUACAUCGUGUAUUAAGAGAUAAUACAAGGAUAUCAUACUAUAAUGUUUUCAGACAAAAAUUAUGGACAGGCUAAUUCGUGAAAUAAGAUGAAGACCUAAAAGGUAGCAAUGAUCCUAUACACUAUACUCUGUAACAGUUGUUUUCAAACUGCUUUUUAAACAUAAAAACAAUUUUAAAUCCACUAUUUUAGCACAUUCUGGUCUUAUAUAGUAAUUACAUGGCUAUAUUUUUCCAGUGUGACAUAUUUAAAAUACAUAUCAUUAAAUUUCUGGUUAAUCUUAAACAUGGAAAUAAAGUACGAAAUUUCUA